rnacentral:lncRNA from 1 species
CCUCAUUGAGUUCAUCAACUUUUUGCUUCCUUAACAUUUGUAAGAAGUCUAGCAGAAUUUGCAUAUUUCGCUCUGCUUCUUCCUGCUCCAAUUUCUUCUUUCUCUCUGACAACAUCGACAAUAGAGCAUCCAGCUCCUUAACUGAUACAUCACAACCCUGUCUAAGCAUAACAAGUGUCACCUCUUUUUCUCCGACAACAUCGACAAUAGAGCAUCCAGCUCCUUAACUGAUACAUCACAACCCUGUCAUAACAAGUGUCACAUCUCAAGAUUCCUUAUAAAACUGAUAUGAAAGUUAAAAACUUAUGCGUGCAUGAUUUGUUCCACACUGACCAAUAGAAAGAACAAGGCAAAAUAGCAUAUAUAAAAAUGUUAUGUUUGAUUCCAAAUGCAGUGGCAUCAAUGCAGAGCUCCACAACUUUCAAGCAGUUUUUUUUUAACCGUGGUUUCUGGGUAUCGCUUUGCGAACCCGAGUAGCAUCUUUCAAGCAGUUGCAUCAAUCAAUUUCAUAGUUAAAUUGAGGGCAAAAAUAUAAUAAUAAAGAGAAAAGGGACACUUGGUUAUAUGGUUAGGAAGUAAAACUGGAGGGGUAAGGAAUGCCUUCAUAUUGGGUUUUUAACUCCUCCAGAAUUGAACAGGAAGCAUCUCUCAAACAACCCAUCUUUGACCCAUGGAGAAGAAUCAGAACCACAAAUGUACCUAUAACACAAGCAACUAUUUUAUAUGUCUAAAUUACCAUAUGAAAUUUUAAUUCACAAUUCAAGACCAUAAUAGACAAUAACUCAACAAACAUAUAAAUCAGAUCACCCA